ACGGGUGAGUAACGCGUGGGAAUCUACCCAUCUCUACGGAAUAACGCAUGGAAACGUGUGCUAAUACCGUAUACGUCCUUCGGGAGAAAGAUUUAUCGGAGAUGGAUGAGCCCGCGUUGGAUUAGCUAGUUGGUGGGGUAAAGGCCUACCAAGGCGACGAUCCAUAGCUGGUCUGAGAGGAUGAUCAGCCACACCGGGACUGAGACACGGCCCAGACUCCUACGGGAGGCAGCAGUGGGGAAUAUUGGACAAUGGGCGCAAGCCUGAUCCAGCCAUGCCGCGUGAGUGAUGAAGGCCCUAGGGUUGUAAAGCUCUUUCACCGGUGAAGAUAAUGACGGUAACCGGAGAAGAAGCCCCGGCUAACUUCGUGCCAGCAGCCGCGGUAAUACGAAGGGGGCUAGCGUUGUUCGGAUUUACUGGGCGUAAAGCGCACGUAGGCGGACUAUUAAGUCAGGGGUGAAAUCCCGGGGCUCAACCCCGGAACUGCCUUUGAUACUGGUAGUCUUGAGUUCGAGAGAGGUGAGUGGAAUUCCGAGUGUAGAGGUGAAAUUCGUAGA
rnacentral:rRNA from 1 species